GAUGAACGCUGGCGGCGUGCCUAAUACAUGCAAGUCGAACGAAGAGGAUUUGUAUUCGUACAGAGUCUCUUAGUGGCGUCCGGGUGAGUAACGCGUUGGUGACCUACCCCGAAGAGGAGAAUAACGGACCGAAAGGUCCGCUAAUGCUCCAUGUGCCCUUUUGGAUUAGAAGCCUUUUGAGUAAAGGUUCGGUAACCGAAAGGUCCGAGCCGCUUUGGGAGGGGCCUGCGUCCCAUCAGCUAGUUGGUAAGGUAACGGCUUACCAAGGCGACGACGGGUAGGGGACCUGAGAGGGUGACCCCCCACACUGGUACUGAAACACGGACCAGACACCUACGGGUGGCAGCAGUAGGGAAUAUUGGGCAAUGGGCGAAAGCUUGACCCAGCAACGCCGCGUGCGGGAUGAAGGCCUUCGGGUUGUAAACCGCUUUUUUGAGGAAAGAGUAAGGACGGUACCUCAAGAAUAAGUCUCGGCUAACUACGUGCCAGCAGCCGCUGUAACAC
rnacentral:rRNA from 1 species